GAUGAACGCUGGCGGCGUGCCUAAUACAUGCAAGUCGAGCGAACAGAUGAGAAGCUUGCUUCUCUGAUGUUAGCGGCGGACGGGUGGGUAACACGUGGGUAACCUACCUAUAAGACUGGGAUAACUCCGGGAAACCGGGGCUAAUACCGGAUAAUAUUUUGAACCGCAUGGUUCAAUAGUGAAAGACGGUUUCGGCUGUCAAUUACAGAUGGACACGCGCCGUAUUAGCUAGUUGGUAAGGUAACGGCUUACCAAGGCGACGAUACGUAGCCGACCUGAGAGGGUGAUCGGCCACACUGGAACUGAGACACGGUCCAGACUCCUACGGGAGGCAGCAGUAGGGAAUCUUCCGCAAUGGGCGAAAGCCUGACGGAGCAACGCCGCGUGAGUGAUGAAGGUCUUCGGAUCGUAAAACUCUGUUGUUAGGGAAGAACAAAUUUGUUAGUAACUGAACAAGUCUUGACGGUACCUAACCAGAAAGCCACGGCUAACUACGUGCCAGCAGCCGCAGUAA
rnacentral:rRNA from 1 species